rnacentral:piRNA from 1 species
UAUCUAGGGCAAAAUUUUUACAUAU